rnacentral:rRNA from 1 species
GUUCGUAGGCGGAAUAGUGCGUCUGCUGUUAAAUCAAUGGGCUCAACCCAUUGCUCGCGGUGGAUACGGCUAUUCUAGAGGCAGGGAGAGGUAAGCGGAACUCCUAGUGGAGCAGUGAAAUGCGUUGAUAUUAGGGGGAACACCAAUUGCGAAGGCAGCUUACUGGUCCUGUCCUGACGCUGAGGGACGAAAGCGUAGGGAGCGAAGCGGAUUAGAUACCCGCGUAGUCUACGCCGUAAACGAUGUCAACUAGGCAUUGGAGGUAUCGACCCCUUCAGUGUCGAAGCUAACGCGUUAAGUUGACCGCCUGGGUAGUACGGCCGCAAGGCUAAAACUCAAAGGAAUAGACGGGGGCCCGCACAAGCGGUGGAGCGUGUGGUUUAAUUCGAUGCUAAGCGAGGAACCUCACCAGGGCUUGAAAUCUGGCUGCACGUCCCAGGAAACUGGGAAAGCCUUCGAGGGUGCCAGACAGGUGCUGCAUGGUUGUCGUCAGCUCGUGUCGUAAGAUGUUCCCUUCAGUGGGGUAACGAGCGCAACCCUUGCCGUGUGUUGCUUUUCACAUGGGACUGCCGUGGUUAACACGGAGGAAGGUGAGGAUGACGUCAAAUCAGCAUGGUC